rnacentral:rRNA from 1 species
UGCGUAGGCGGAUAGGUAAGUCCGUGGUGAAAUCCUGCAGCUUAACUGCAGAACUGCCAUGGAUACUAUUUAUCUUGAAUGUCGUGGAGGUUAGCAGAAUAUGUCAUGUAGCGGUGAAAUGCUUAGAUAUGACAUAGAAUACCCAUUGCGAAGGCAGCUAACUACGCGAUAAUUGACGCUGAUGCACGAAAGCGUGGGGAUCAAACA